CUCGCCUAGAUGGCUUGCGAUAUACUCAAACCUUAAGCAAUAGCAAAUAUCUCAGAUAUGAGGUUUUCUCUACAUCCAAUUCUCGUGAUUCUCCUCACUUAAAUCCGCAUAGGCAUAGAUCGGUCCUGACAGCGCCCUCCUCUGCGCUUCCUCUCCAAGUACCCUCUGCUGCCGCGUGCUUGUCCUCCUUGUGUUGCCGCACCGUGGAGAUGGGUACACGAACUAGGCAGGCCACGGGACGACAACUGCUCUAGCACCCACCUCGUGAGGAGGGGUUGAGUACAGCUCCCAGUUCACGGAGGAGAUGCCAGCACAGAAGUCACUGGAUGCAUGCCCAAGAAGCCCAACACGGCCAGGUUGACAUUGUUGGAGUAAGUUGCUAUUCUUCAAAGGACCUGUGGUCUUGGAGAAACGAAGGAGUUGUGCUCCAUGGCGAGGAAAAUAAUUUGUCACAUGACCUCCACAAAUCCAAUGUCCUGGUGCGACCCAAGGUGGUCUAUAACAACCGGACCAGCAAAUACGUGAUGUGGAUGCACAUAGACGAUGCGAACUACACCAAAUCCUCAAUCAGCGUGGCGACGAGUGAUUCUCCCAUGGGACCAUUCACUUAUCUCUACAGCAAGCGCCCACAUAACUACGAAAGCAGAGACAUGACCAUUUUCAAGGAUGAUGACGGGAAGGCCUACCUGAUAUAUUCAUCCAAGGGCAACAACGAGCUCCACAUUGCGCAGCUAACCGAUGACUACCUCGACGUGACCGACGGCAUGCGAAGAAUUCUCGUCGCACGGUAUCGAGAAGCCCUCACGCUCUUCAAGUUCCGCGACACCGACUACAUGAUAACCUUGGGUUACACCGGCUGGGCACCGAACACUGCAAGGUGAAGAAAAAUUCAGAUGGGAAACUACACAUAUAUACUGUAUGCUAUACAAAUAUUGCAACAUACAUGGGUGCCAAUGCGGAUGUCGAUGUUGCCUAUUGUAUGUUUGUUGAUUCUGUUUGAGGCACAUAUGUUUGUUGAUUCUGUUUCUGGGUUGGCCCUUGAGGGGGAGAGGAAAGCAAACUUCAGCAUGCUUCAGAUUUCUGCUCUUUGGUUGGCAAUGGUCCGAAUGGAGGUCAAACUAGCAUUCCCCCAGGACAGACCGCCACUUUCCGUCAUUUCGGCUGCAAAGAUUGCAGGUGUUUCCAUAAUCAUUGAUCCGACCCUUGCCUCAGGUUCAGUGCCCACACUACACUUCAGUUCUGGGGAUUUUAUACAUGGUGUCAACACAAUUCUCCGAUACAUUGCACGUGCUGCAUCUGUUUCCAGCUUCUAUGGCCAGGACGAUAUUCAGGCAGCACAAGUUGACCAAUGGCUCAAGUACACACCACUCAUUCUCUCAGGCUCUGAAUUUGAAGCUGCUUGCUCAUUUCUUGAUGGAUACUUGGCAAAUCGAGCCUUUUUGGUUGGUUAUGGUCUAUCAAUUGCUGACAUUGUCGUGUGGUCAAAUCUCACAGGUCACCAUGGUUCCAUUGUCAUAUCAUUCCUCAUGUGCUGCUGUUUAGCAUCACAAAAGAAGAAGGCCAGAGUUAUUUCUUCCUUUUGGAUAUUUUCCAUCAUAACUAGCAGCCAAUCUGAGCCGAAUAUCUGAAGCAAUUUCUGUUAAAUUUGUUUGAAGAUGAUACUAUGCAAGAUGCGUAAGCUGGGGAUGGCAUGGCAGUGCAUGCUGAUGCUGUCGGUCAAGAAGUACCAUACCGCCAUGUGUGGCCUCACCUUUGUUUAUCAAUUCGUGCGCAGGUAUGGAUCGGUGAUGUUGUCGAUGCCCAUAGAGCCAUUGCCUCAUGCAUGAUGUGUGUUUUGUGUGUGCCAGUUUGCCGGUUAGUGAGUGAUAAUAUUCGGAUGGAUGUUUCAUCGGUGUAGCAAGUGAUCAGCAAUAGACAGCUCUUACUUUUGGAUUGAAGUGCAGAUCUUGCUAAAGAGUUAACUAUGGACUCAUUUAUGUAUUCUUAUGCCCCAAUGCUUCAUUAAGUAUUCUUAUUUCUGCAACAUAAAAUUAUUUCUUACCAUCUUCUAUUGUUUCCUCUGUUUUUAUCAGUUAUUUAGUGAACACCACAUAAAAUUAUUUCUUACCAUCUUCUAUUGUUUCCUCUGUUUUUAUCAGUUAUUCAGUGAACACCACAUGUCACAUGAAUUUUUGACUACUUGUCUACAGAAUCAGGUCUUGAGUUUGCUUGCUUAAUCGUCCCUGUGUAAUUGCUCCCCAAGCUCGCCAAUUGUGAGUUUGUCCCACACAAUGGAGUUUCUAUGAAUUUUUGUAGUCCAAAAUUCUUGGAAAUUCUCUUGUUGCUGUUAUAAUGUGGGUGUGUUCGGCUUCCUUCUUCAUUAAAGUUUGACAGGAGUCGUAAAACCAAUGGAUAAGAGACUGUUUGAUGGUGAAAGAAUGUAUGCUCGUGGUGACUACCUCAAGUGUGCCAGAGUAUGUUUGUUUGGGCUGCAAUUUCCAUGGCUGCAGCUGAAGGAGCGGCUGUAGCUGGUGAUGAAGAGAGGCACUUUGCAUUUGCCCACCAGAAGUACAGAUCGGUAAAGUACAGAGAAGCUUCAGAGCAUGGCAACAUUGUUUAUGAGAAGAUCACGACAAACUACUUCUUCGAGUUACUACUAUCAGUUUAUACUUGGUGCUAGCUGAAGCUUCUAUUUUCUACCCAAACUGCUAUUAACACAAAAAGUUAAUGAUAUUUCAUAACUAAUGGAUUGAGCAGCAACUCUAGCGAUCCAGGAUUUUAUCCUAAGCUGCUAUUAAACUCACAAGAGGGAGCAUUUUAAUAACAAAAGAACUCUAGCCAUGCUUUUUGAUAUACUACGUAUACGUAUGAUGUACUAGCAGUUCCUAUUUUGUAACUAUUGCGUACUAGAAAAUUGAAUUGGCAAUGUAUUCAUAAAUAUGAUGUAUUAAAUUAUGUCCUGAGAGGGAUUUGUUCA